CCCUUAGAUGUUCUGGGCGGCCCGCGCACUACAAUGGCGCUUUCAGCGAGUUCCUAUGUUGAAUUUUCCUGGGUAUUCUUGGAAGCGGCAUCUUGACUUGGGAUAGAUCCUUGUAAUUGUUGGUUUUGAACGAGGAAUUCCUUGUAAUCGCGGUUGAUCAGCUCGCGUUGAAUACGUCCCUGCCCUUUGUACACACCGCCCGUCGCUCCUACCGAUGAAUCGUCCGGUGAAGUUCACAGAGUGGCGGUUCGUGGAGUUGCUCGCGAAGUGAAAUGGACCUCACGAUUUAGAGGAAGGAGAAGUCGUAACA
rnacentral:rRNA from 1 species